rnacentral:rRNA from 1 species
AGUGAACGCUGGCGGUAGGCCUAACACAUGCAAGUCGAACGGCAGCACAGUAAGAGCUUGCUCUUACGGGUGGCGAGUGGCGGACGCGUCAGGAAUACACCGGAAUCUACUUUUUCGUGGGGGAUAACGUCGGGAAACUUACGCUAAUACCGCAUACGACCUCCGGGUGAAAGCAGGGGAUCUUCGGACCUUGCGCGAUUGAAUGAGCCGAUGUCGGAUUAGCUAGUUGGCGGGGUAAAGGCCCACCAAGGCGACGAUCCGUAGCUGGUCUGAGGGGAUGAACGAGGACACUGGGACUGAGACACGGUCCAGACACCGACAGGAGGCAGCAGUGGAGAAUAUUGGAGGAUGGGGGCAAGCCUGAUCCAGCCAUACCGCGUGGGUGCAGAAGGCCUUCGGGUGGGAAAACCCUUUUGGUGGGAAAGAAAAGCAGCAGGUUAAUACCCCGCUGUUCUGACGGUACCCAAAGAAUAAGCACCGGCUAACUUCGUG